AAUAAGUAAAAAAGCAUAUUGAAAUAAAAAACAUUAAUUGCACUAUAUGCAAGUGAUGUUUCUUCAGCUUAAGGUCAUUUGUUAUUGAGUUAGCUAGUGAGUGACUCUGGAUGGUAUUAUAUUUGUUUAUUUAUUUGUUACAUCCGAAAAUUUUCUCUGGAGAAUGGAAAAAUUCAUAGAUAAGAUUUGGUUUAAGUUGUCCCUAAAAAUUAUGUAAAACUCGAGCACAUUUCAUGGGGCCCGUUGGUUUUAACAAAAUCCUUGAGAGUUGC
rnacentral:misc_RNA from 1 species